rnacentral:tRNA from 1 species
GACGGUAUAGCUCAGUGGUGGAGCGCGUGGUUACCAUCUACCACAUCCUGAGCUCAAUCCCCAGUACCUCCA